rnacentral:rRNA from 1 species
UACGGGGGGGGCAAGCGUUGUUCGGAAUUACUGGGCGUAAAGGGCUCGUAGGCGGCCAACUAAGUCGGAUGUGAAAUCCCCAGGCUUAACCUGGGAACUGCAUCCGAUACUGGAUGGCUUGAGUCCGGGAGAGGGAUGCAGAAUUCCAGGUGUAGCGGUGAAAUGCGUAGAUAUCUGGAGGAAUACCGGUGGCGAAGGCGGCAUCCUGGACCGGCAUUGACGCUGAUGAGCGAAAGCUAGGGGAGCAAACGGG